rnacentral:rRNA from 2 species
UGGGGAAUAUUGCGCAAUGGGGGAAACCCUGACGCAGCAACGCCGCGUGAAGGAUGAAGGUUUUCGGAUCGUAAACUUCUUUGAUGAGGGACGAAACAAAUGACGGUACCUCAAAAACAAGCCACGGCUAACUACGUGCCAGCAGCCGCGGUAAUACGUAGGUGGCGAGCGUUGUCCGGAUUUACUGGGUGUAAAGGGCGUGUAGGCGGGAAGAUAAGUCAGAUGUGAAAUUCCGGGGCUCAACCCCGGCGCUGCAUCUGAAACUAUUUUUCUUGAGUGCUGGAGAGGAAAGCGGAAUUCCUAGUGUAGCGGUGAAAUGCGUAGAUAUUAGGAGGAACACCAGUGGCGAAGGCGGCUUUCUGGACAGUAACUGACGCUGAGGCGCGAAAGCGUGGGGAGCAAACAGG